GUUGAUAAGGUUAAGUGAAUAAGGGCGCACGGUGGAUGCCUUGGCACUAGGAGCCGAUGAAGGACGGGACUAACACCGAUAUGCUUUGGGGAGCUGUAAGUAAGCUUUGAUCCAGAGAUUUCCGAAUGGGGGAACCCAAUAUCUUUUAUAGGAUAUUACUUUUCAGUGAAUACAUAGCUGAUUAGAGGUAGACGCAGAGAACUGAAACAUCUUAGUACCUGCAGGAAGAGAAAGAAAAUUCGAUUCCCUUAGUAGCGGCGAGCGAAACGGGAAGAGCCCAAACCAACAAGCUUGCUUGUUGGGGUUGUAGGACUCCAAUAUGGUAGUCUGUUAGUAUAGUUGAAGGAUUUGGAAAAUUCCGCUAAAGAGGGUGAAAGCCCCGUAGACGAAAUGCUGACAACACCUAGGAGGAUCCUGAGUACGGCGGAACACGAGAAAUUCCGUCGGAAUCCGCGGGGACCAUCCCGCAAGGCUAAAUACUCCCUAGUGACCGAUAGUGAACCAGUACCGUGAGGGAAAGGUGAAAAGCACCCCGGAAGGGGAGUGAAAUAGAACCUGAAACCGUGUGCCUACAACAAGUCAAAGCUCGUUAAUGAGUGAUGGCGUGCCUUUUGUAGAAUGAACCGGCGAGUUACGAUUGCAUGCGAGGUUAAGUCGAAGAGACGGAGCCGCAGCGAAAGCGAGUCUGAAUAGGGCGAAUGAGUAUGUAGUCGUAGACCCGAAACCAUGUGAUCUACCCAUGUCCAGGUUGAAGGUGCGGUAAAACGCACUGGAGGACCGAACCCACGUACGUUGAAAAGUGCGGGGAUGAGGUGUGGGUAGCGGAGAAAUUCCAAACGAACUUGGAGAUAGCUGGUUCUCUCCGAAAUAGCUUUAGGGCUAGCCUCGGAAUUGAGAAUGAUGGAGGUAGAGCACUGUUUGGACUAGGGGCCCAUCUCGGGUUACCGAAUUCAGAUAAACUCCGAAUGCCAUUCAUUUAUAUCCGGGAGUCAGACUGCGAGUGAUAAGAUCCGUAGUCGAAAGGGAAACAGCCCAGACCACCAGCUAAGGUCCCAAAAUAUAUGUUAAGUGGAAAAGGAUGUGGGGUUGCACAGACAACUAGGAUGUUGGCUUAGAAGCAGCCAUCAUUUAAAGAGUGCGUAAUAGCUCACUAGUCGAGUGACACUGCGCCGAAAAUGUACCGGGGCUAAACAUAUUACCGAAGCUGUGGACUACACCAUUAGGUGUAGUGGUAGGAGAGCGUUCUAAGGGCGUUGAAGGUCGAUCGUGAGGACGGCUGGAGCGCUUAGAAGUGAGAAUGCCGGUAUGAGUAGCGAAAGACAGGUGAGAAUCCUGUCCACCGUAUGACUAAGGUUUCCUGGGGAAGGCUCGUCCGCCCAGGGUUAGUCGGGACCUAAGCCGAGGCCGAUAGGCGUAGGCGAUGGACAACAGGUUGAUAUUCCUGUACCAGUUGUUUUUGUUUGAGCAAUGGAGGGACGCAGUAGGCUAAGGAAUGCAUGCGAUUGGAAGUGCAUGUCCAAGCAAUGAGUCUUGAGUAGAGUUAAAUGCUUUACUCUUUAAGGACAAGUUGUGACGGGGAGCGAAAUAAUAGUAGCGAAGUUCCUGAUGUCACACUGCCAAGAAAAGCUUCUAGUGAGAAAACAACUGCCCGUACCGUAAACCGACACAGGUAGUCGAGGAGAGUAUCCUAAGGUGAGCGAGCGAACUCUCGUUAAGGAACUCGGCAAAAUGACCCCGUAACUUCGGGAGAAGGGGUGCUGACUUCGGUCAGCCGCAGUGAAUAGGCCCAAGCGACUGUUUAUCAAAAACACAGGUCUCUGCAAAAUCGUAAGAUGAAGUAUAGGGGCUGACGCCUGCCCGGUGCUGGAAGGUUAAGAGGAUGGGUUAGCUUCGGCGAAGCUCAGAAUUGAAGCCCCAGUAAACGGCGGCCGUAACUAUAACGGUCCUAAGGUAGCGAAAUUCCUUGUCGGGUAAGUUCCGACCCG
rnacentral:rRNA from 1 species